rnacentral:lncRNA from 1 species
GAACCAGACUGGACCAUGGAUAUCUCUGCCUGCAAAACCUCUUGUGCUUUCAAGUUGAAGGUAACGGAAAAGUAUCAGAGUAACUUUAAAAGGCUAGAAUCUAGGACCACUUUGGACAUUCAAAGCAAAGGAAGGAAGAGGAAGCGGAGCAUGGGGGAGAUGAAACGCAAAGAAGGCAGAGGUGUACAAUGUCUGUGUAAGCACAACAAGAAAGCAACUUAACUGCCUGCAGCAUCAGACCAAGUUCCUGGAUCAUAAGUUUGAAAGCAGCUUCUAGAUGACGCUUGUGGAUAUUUGGAAUAAUAUCUACUAAUUUCUGUUAAGCAGCUAUGUUUCAACUCCACUUCAAUAAAAACAGCCAAAUUUCUCUCCUGGAAAUUCUUAAA